ACAUAGGGCACAAUUGGAGGCGCCACGCGAAAGGAGGGAUCCAGCGCGCAAUAUACCCAUUCAAACAAAAAGGGCGCAGAUCCAACUCCUUUAUCGGGCCAACGCGCGGACCUCAAUGGGUGUAAACGGUGCCGCUUUGUUUAAUAGGUUAUUCAAAACCUUUCUUUUCCCAUUUAUUUUCCAAACACAGCCAACAAUUAAACUAAAAGUCACUGCCCUAAAAUCAAUUCUUUAGGGUUCAUUCCAGCAGCCUCCAUUUGCUAAGGCCCGUUCAUCACCAGUUCACCAUUAAAAUUGGUGAGUGAUGUAGAAGCAGCCUUUACUUCCUCCGAAAUCAACAUUCAAAGCCCAUUCUCACUUGAUAAUUCGCAUUGCUAACCCCGAUUUCAACGGAGAAGCCAAGGGAUCUCAUCGAUACAUUUAACGAAGGAUCAUCCGUACGGAGGAGCGGGGAGAGGCACGCGUGAAAGAAGCCGUGCGAAGAAACCGCUCGUGAGACCCGACCCCCUAGCACUGUUCUAGCAUGUUCCAGAAGCUUCUGGUGCUUGGUUGCUGGGAUUCCUUUUGAGUUUGGGCUGUUCGGGCUAGGGAUUUUAGUAUAGCCCUCUUGGACUAUGUGAUUAGGUUAGGUCUGUAUUAAGGGGUUAAGGUUUAGGUUAUUUUUGGCCCAAAUAUUUGUAACCGGACACUGGAAUUUGGAUUUUUUAUUUGUGUGUUUUUUUUUAUUUUUGGUUUUUAAUUUCUAUUUUUUUAUUCUAAUGGGCCCGGGCUAAAUGGACCUAUUACAAGGGAGAAUUGUAACUGUCCAUUUUUUAGUGAUAUCAAAAAUAGUGAUUUCAGAA